UCAUUUUACAUUUUCUGUUCACAUUAGAGUGUUUCUAAUUUGAAGCUCCUUUUGAAGAUUUUGAUUUAUUAAAACAAAUAACACAUUUUUCAGAUUUGUUGCAGAUAAAUUCCAAAUGAAUAUGAAAAUUUGGUUUAUUUUGGCGGUAGUUCUCUUUACAUUCGGUGUUUCAUUCGCCACGCCAUCUUGUCCUGCGGGUAAAAUAGAGAAUCUUAUAAUCAAUGGUGCCGGAGCCACAUCAAUAAAACUAGACAGUCUAACUUAUGACAUCUUCACUACGAAACCGGGAUUCCAGUCCUUACUUUAUACAAUCUUCACAGAGGAUAUUAAAAUAAUUGUGCAUGCUCCUAGCUGCAAAGCCAAUUCUGAGUUUGACGAGUUUUCAGUCGUUUCAUGAUAAAUUACUUGUAUUACUACUUUUUAAGAUGACACAUUUAAUAUUUGUCGAACAAUGCCAUAAAAUCAUUAAAACUGUUCCUUUGAAAUGAAA